rnacentral:rRNA from 1 species
CAGUCGCCGCGGUAAUACGUAGGGUGCAAGCGUUAAUCGGAAUUACUGGGCGUAAGGCGCGCGUAGGCGGUUACUCAAGUCAGAGGUGAAAGCCCGGGGCUCAACCCCGGAACUGCCUUUGAAACUAGGUGACUAGAAUCUUGGAGAGGUCAGUGGAAUUCCGAGUGUAGAGGUGAAAUUCGUAGAUAUUCGGAAGAACACCAGUGGCGAAGGCGACUGACUGGACAAGUAUUGACGCUGAGGUGCGAAAGCGUGGGGAGCAAACAGGAUUAGAGACCCCUGUAGUCCCUGUCUCUUAUAU